UAGGGAAUCUUCCACAAUGGACGAAAGUCUGAUGGAGCAACGCCGCGUGAGUGAAGAAGGAUUUCGGUUCGUAAAACUCUGUUGCAAGGGAAGAACAAGUAGCGUAGUAACUGGCGCUACCUUGACGGUACCUUGUUAGAAAGCCACGGCUAACUACGUGCCAGCAGCCGCGGUAAUACGUAGGUGGCAAGCGUUGUCCGGAAUUAUUGGGCGUAAAGCGCGCGCAGGUGGUUCCUUAAGUCUGAUGUGAAAGCCCCCGGCUCAACCGGGGAGGGUCAUUGGAAACUGGGGAACUUGAGUGCAGAAGAGGAUAGUGGAAUUCCAAGUGUAGCGGUGAAAUGCGUAGAGAUUUGGAGGAACACCAGUGGCGAAGGCGACUGUCUGGUCUGUAACUGACACUGAGGCGCGAAAGCGUGGGGAGCAAACAGGAUUAGAUACCCUGGUAGUCCACGCCGUAAACGAUGAGUGCUAAGUGUUGGGGGGUUUCCGCCCCUUCAGUGCUGCAGCUAACGCAUUAAGCAGCUACCGUCCUGGGGAUAGCGUCGCAAGACUG
rnacentral:rRNA from 1 species